rnacentral:lncRNA from 1 species
CCCAAGGUCCAUGUAAGUGCAGCUGCCCAGGACUCCCCUUGCUGUCCAGACAUAGGCUCUCCUACCUGCUUCCAACUUCAGUUCUGUGGCAUUUCCAGGAAAUAUGGGUAGUUAACACAUAACCAUGCUCAAUGAGAGCCAACCUGUGGCUGUGCGGCCCUUUCUCGGCACGUGGCCCAAGCCUGUGCUGGGUCUACGCAGUGAAGUACAAGAUUUAUCUUAAUUCCAAGGCCAGAAUUCAGGUACCAGAAAUGGGUACUUUGCCCAGAUCAUCCCUGACAAAAAUAUUUGCCUAUUAACACAAUCUUACUACAACUAAAUAGAAAACAAAAACUGUUGACCUAUAAGAUAAAUGAAUCUUUCAAAGCAUUAUUUGGUUGCUCUACCUGAAGAAUACUAAAUUGUAACCCAGUCAUCCAGCAUGAGACUCUACCUGUAAACCUCGAAGGCUUAUUCCUGCCUAGAGCCCCAGGGAAGCAGCUUCCACCUCCACAUUCCAAGCUGCCAUGGAAACAACAAUGCUGCCUAUUCCACUACAGGCUUUGCGAGACUCCUCUGAAGACCUCCCUCCAGAGUCCACAGUUGCGAGACUCCUCUGAAGACCCCUAUCCAGAGUCCACAGUUGCGAGACUCCUCUGAAGACCCCUCUCCAGAGUCCACAGUUGACUUCCUCCUCAGAGUCCUACCACAGGAUUAAUUCCUGAAAUCUUUCCCAAAUCCAAACGUUAAGCAUUAUCUACAUCAGUCAAUGUCCUACUAAAAGUUUCCAUUACACAUGCUAUAAAUUUUGACUGAUGAAAACUAAAAA